rnacentral:rRNA from 1 species
GAGUUUGAUCGUGGCUCAGAACGAACGCUGGCGGCGUGGAUAAGACAUGCAAGUCGAACGGGAGAAUUGCUAGCUUGCUAAUAAUUCUCUAGCGGCGCACGGGUGAGUAACACGUGAGUAACCUGCCCCCGAGAGCGGGAUAGCCCUGGGAAACUGGGAUUAAUACCGCAUAGUAUCGAAAGAUUAAAGCAGCAAUGCGCUUGGGGAUGGGCUCGCGGCCUAUUAGUUAGUUGGUGAGGUAACGGCUCACCAAGGCGAUGACGGGUAGCCGGUCUGAGAGGAUGUCCGGCCACACUGGAACUGAGACACGGUCCAGACACCUACGGGUGGCAGCAGUCGAGAAUCAUUCACAAUGGGGGAAACCCUGAUGGUGCGACGCCGCGUGGGGGAAUGAAGGUCUUCGGAUUGUAAACCCCUGUCAUGUGGGAGCAAAUUAAAAAGAUAGUACCACAAGAGGAAGAGACGGCUAACUCUGUGCCAGCAGCCGCAGUAAU